UACGAAGGGGGCUAGCGUUGCUCGGAAUUACUGGGCGUAAAGCGCACGUAGGCGGCUCUUUAAGUCGGGGGUGAAAUCCUGGAGCUCAACUCCAGAACUGCCUUCGAUACUGAAGAGCUCGAGUCCGGGAGAGGUGAGUGGAACUGCGAGUGUAGAGGUGAAAUUCGUAGAUAUUCGCAAGAACACCAGUGGCGAAGGCGGCUCACUGGCCCGGUACUGACGCUGAGGUGCGAAAGCGUGGGAGCAAACAGG
rnacentral:rRNA from 1 species